rnacentral:rRNA from 1 species
GUGCGACCCCAGGAUGGGCGGGGUGACCCGCUGAGUUUAAGCAUAUCAAUAAGCGGAGGAGAAGAAACUUACAAGGAUUCCCUUA